AUGACUAGGGAUAACCUUAGGAAGAGACACAUCAUCAAACCCCUUGAUUGUGUUUACUGCUUGGAACAACAGUUUUGUUCUCACCUAUUUUUUGAAUGUAUAGUUGCUAAACAUCUCUGGGCCCACAUUGAGGAAUAUUUCUCUAGUCAGAUUGGCUCAUCCUUCGAAUCUGUCGACAGAUUCUGGAUUGCUACCAAAAAGUGCUCAGUUUUAAACACUGUUAGCUCAGCUGUCCUUUGGUGCCUCUAGAAAUAUAGAAAUGUUAUGAUUUUCAGUAACACCUCCUGGAUUUCCAUUCUGCAGGUCUUGAGGUUGAUCAGGAACAUGGUGAGGAACUGGGCGAUUCUCUCCUCCGGAUCGGACAAGGACAAGUUGACGAGCUUCAUGGAAACCCUAACAAGAUCCCUCCAGAAACCGUUGGCGAUCACUUGUGGCUGA
rnacentral:rRNA from 1 species